AGAGUUUGAUCAUGGCUCAGAACGAACGCUGGCGGCAUGCCUAACACAUGCAAGUCGAACGUGAUCCAUGACUUCGGUUGUGGUGAAAGUGGCAAACGGGUGAGUAACGCGUGGGAAUCUGCCCAGAGGUAGGGAAUAACCGCGGGAAACUGCGGCUAAUACCCUAUGUGCCCUACGGGGCAAAGAUUUAUCGCCUUUGGAGGAGCCCGCGUCGGAUUAGGUAGUUGGUAGGGUAACGGCCUACCAAGCCUACGAUCCGUAGCUGGUCUGAGAGGAUGAUCAGCCACACUGGGACUGAGAUACGGCCCAGACUCCUACGGGAGGCAGCAGUGGGGAAUAUUGGACAAUGGGGGCAACCCUGAUCCAGCAAUGCCGCGUGAGUGAUGAAGGCCUUCGGGUUGUAAAGCUCUUUCGGCGGGGAAGAUGAUGACGGUACCCGCAGAAGAAGCCCCGGCUAACUUCGUGCCAGCAGCCGCGGUAAUACGAAGGGGGCUAGCGUUGUUCGGAAUUACUGGGCGUAAAGGGCGCGUAGGCGGUGCUGUAAGUCAGGCGUGAAAUCCCCGGGCUCAACCUGGGAAUUGCGUUUGAUACUGCGGCGCUGGAAUGCGGGAGAGGAUGGCGGAAUUCCCAGUGUAGAGGUGAAAUUCGUAGAUAUUGGGAAGAACACCGGGCGAAGGCGGCCAUCUGGCCCGUAAUUGACGCUGAGGCGCGAAAGCGUGGGGAGCAAACAGGAUUAGAUACCCUAGUAGUCC
rnacentral:rRNA from 1 species